rnacentral:ncRNA from 1 species
UGGCCCAUCGGGGCAACGGAUACCUGCUUUUUAAAAACAAAUUUUU